rnacentral:rRNA from 1 species
GUGAGGAAUAUUGCGCAAUGGACGAAAGUCUGACGCAGCCAUGCCGCGUGAAGGAUUGACGGCUCUAUGGGUUGUAAACUUCUUUUGUAUAGGAAUAAACCCUCGUUCGUGAACGAGGCUGAAGGUACUAUAAGAAUAAGCACCGGCUAACUCCGUGCCAGCAGCCGCGGUAAUACGGAGGGUGCAAGCGUUAUCCGGAUUUAUUGGGUUUAAAGGGUCCGUAGGCGGAUCGUUAAGUCAGUGGUGAAAUCCUACCGCUCAACGGUAGAACUGCCAUUGAUACUGGCGAUCUUGAGUAUGUAUGAAGUUGGCGGAAUGUGUGGUGUAGCGGUGAAAUGCUUAGAUAUCACACAGAACACCGAUUGCGAAGGCAGCUGACUAAUACACAACUGACGCUGAGGGACGAAAGUGUGGGGAUCAAACAGGAUUAGAAACCCUAGUAGUCC